rnacentral:lncRNA from 1 species
GGGAUCGAAUGGACUAACCUGGAUGACGUGGUGCUUCCGCUGUCUUCUAAUUUUCAAUCGUCCGGAAUCUUCAAGCUUCGACCGGAGGGAGGUACCUGCAAUGGCACUCUGACGUCGCAUCCAUAUUUUUCGGUGGAAAUUUUCUUCUUUGAAAGAUGAGGUUCGAUUGUAGAGCUCGUUCCAACACCUUUUCUCUGGGGGCAGUAAGAUGCGCAUAGCGGUCGUAUCUGGGGUUUAGAUUCACGAUUGGUUUCUGUUCCCG